GCAACACCUACUGUCUUACUUGGGUUUCUCUUACCUUGGGUGUGGGGUAUCUCUUCACGACUGCUCCAGCAAAGUGCAGCCAAUGCUCCUUACCUUGGACAAGGGGUAUCUCCUCACCGCCGCCCUAAACCACUUAGACAGCUGCUUAUGCUGCCUUCUUCAUAGGGUUCAGGGUUCUAAUAUGAUCUAUCUUGGUCCCUUCCCCCCACCAAAUGGCCUCAGCCUCAACCACCAGUAUUUUUUUUUUAAUUUAUUUAUUUGGCUGUGCCAGGUCUUAGUUGCAGCAUGCAGGAUCUGGUUCUCUGACCAGAGAGCAAACCCAAGCCCCCUGCACUGGGAGCCGAGAGUCUUAGCCGCUGAACCACCAGGGAAGUUCCUCAACCACCAGUCUUAGUCACCUGUCUCUCCUCAGUAGGAAAGCUUUAAACAUCUAAGACAUCAUUUGAUUUAUCAACAUCGUUGCUUCUGCAAUGUGUAAGCCUGGUUUGGGCACAGGGACGAAGGAGAUACAGCAGCACAGGACUUCUGUCACUCAAGUGCCCAAGGAAAAAGGACUUCCCUUCAGUUUACAGAAGAGUAAGGUGGCUGUCAGAAAUGCAUGAAAUUAGGACUCAGCCACUUACUAGUGAAAUGCAAACCCAAACUACUGUAUUACCUGUAAAUUCACCAAAAAUGACUGAUACCAAGGAUGAUGGGAAUGUGAGUGAAGGGGGCAUCAUUCUCCACUGGUGGGAAUGCAAACUUGCAAAACCACUUCGGGGAAGAGUCUGGCCUCACGCGGCAGAGCCGGGUGCACACUCUGGCUCAGCAGCCUGGGCUGCAGCAGGAUGUGCAGUGCACACUCUGGUUGCCAUGGAGCUGUGCGAUGGGGCGGCCCCAGCGUUUCCACUCCUCAGCAGGCCAUCUUUAGCAGAAGUCAGCAAACUAUGGGACUAUAGCCCAAAUCCAGCCUGCCAUCUGCUGUUGUUUCAAGUUUGCAGCACAGUCAUGUUAUUUGUUGACAUCUGGUCAUGGUUGCUUUUAUGAUACAAUGGCGGAGUUGGACAGCUGGGAGAGACAAGGACUAUCUGGCUUGUAAAGUUCCAUAUAUUUACUAUCUUCCUAUUUACAGAAAAUCUGCGCCCAACUUCCAGUCUGGAGGAUCUCUUGCCUAUGGGAAUCAGGCGAUGGUAUGACACUUGGGGCUUCCCUCCUGGCUCAAGUGGUAAAGAACCUGCCUGCCAGUGCAGGAGAUAUUCUGUAUACAAGUGGUAUCAUAUAAUAUUUCACUUCCUCUGUCGGACUUACAUCACUCAGUAUGACAAUUUCUAGGUCCAUCCGUGUUGUGCAGCCUGGUUUUGAGUGGGUAUCCAGGAAGGAAAGCCUGUAGUAGCGUGGCCCCACUUCGACAGUAAUGCUUGAAGAAAGUGCAGUUGCAUGGCCCACGCAAAGCCAGUGAAACUCACUGGAAGGCUGAAUCUCAGAGCAUAUCUCCGGAACACCUGCUUCAGACUCACCUGGCUGAUGGAGGGGUGUGGAGGGGGGAGGCUGGCGGCCAACUGGAGGAACCAAAUUUUCAUGGCCCCAAGGAAAGAAUCCCAAGGCUCAGAUUUCAGGCCUGCACCUUGAAAAACCACCCGCUCUGAAAACUGGCCAUUUCCCACCAAUUUGCUUCUGAAACACCACCCCCUGUGAUUCACGUUCUAUAAAUUGUUGUACAUACUGUUUACUUCCACAAGAGACCACUCUUGCUUCACUUUUCCUUAUGGUGUCUUAAAAAAAUACAGUCUUAGCCACCAGUGGUACAGGGGAAAAAAAAAAAUAGUGUUUGGCAGGUUUUAAACACAGUGUGCAAAAGUGUAAUUUCAGGGUCCUUGGGAAACAUAUCAGAUUCUUGGCGUGUGCUGCUCAUUGACAUAUGAAUGACAGUGACGACAACUGGGCAUCUCUGUAGGACCUCCUCUCAGGACCAAACUUUUUCAUAUAUAUCAUUCAGUUAAGACUCACAGGGGUAUGUGUCUUGGGGUUGCUGUUUUCCAGACAGUGAAACUGGGGAAACACCAUGAGUCAGAGUCAGGGGAUGACACUUCAGAACAAGGGGAAGUAAGAACCGUGGAACCGUGGAAACUUCCACCCCAGGCCUUCCUCAGGGUUCAGGUGGGUGGUUUGACUUUCAGCUUGAAUAUGAAGUUGGGCAGGUACGUUGUUCUGUGGAAAGCUUGGGUGGCAGGGGGUCUCUCAGUGUCCAGGGAGUUUCCCAGACCACCACUUCCUCCGUUUGUCCCUCUUCACAGUCUCUCACCAACAGUCUUCACUCUGGAUGCUAGAAGCUUCUGAGUCCUUGAGCCUCCUGCUUGUUACUGCCUGCCUUGUUUCCAUUAUCCCACAUGGCAGACAGAAGGCAGUAUUUGGAAUCAAUAUGUUGGGUUUGAUUCUGGCUUCUUAUUAGCUGGGCUAGGCAAUGGCACCCCACUCCAGUACUCUUGCCUGGAGAAUCCCAGGGACGGCGGAGCCUGGUGGGCUGCAGUCUAUGGGGUCGCACAGAGUCGGACACAACUCAAGUGAUUUAGCAGCAGCAACAGCAGCUAUUGUUAGUAAACAUCUCUGACCCUUAGUGUCUUCAGAUCUGUAAAAGGGGGCUAAUUAUACCCAUCUCAUAGGUUCUGGCAGGGAUUCAAGCAAUUGUGUGUGUAAAGGGCCUGGCAUGCUGUGGAUGCCUCUGCUUAACAAAUCCUUUCCUUUCUUCUGCUCUUGCGUAUAUCAGCUGUUUCUAUGGUUGUAUCGCCUGAUUCUAAGAGAACUCAGGGAAUUCUUAUUACUGACUAGUUACAUUCAAGUACCACCCAGCAGUCCUUGAUGCAGUGGGUCUCCUAUUUAAAUAAGAACCUGUUGAAUUUGGAGAUGCCAGGCCAGGCCUCUGUUGGGAUGUCCCUCAGGAGAGCAUGGCUGGACCAUGGGUCCUCCUGUCACCUCCAGCCCUGGUACCUGGCUGAGCCAUCCAGGUCACCCUCACCAAUAUGGGCAGAUGUCAUCCAAUCCACAGCAGGCCUGAUUAGCAUAAAAGGGCAGAGAAGCUGCAAAUUCGCUCUCUGCAGGGUAAAGUCAUCCAUCUUUCUCUGCCUUGGACCUCAGUGCUGCUGUUUCUUGGGUUUUAUAAGUCAUCUUCAGGGACGUACACCACUGGCUGCCUUGGUUCUUGGGCCUUAGAACUUGGACUGGCCUUAGAACACCGGCCUCCCGCAUCUCUGUCUUGUGGCUGACAGGUCCUGUGAUGUCUCAGCUUCCAUAACCAGGUUCAGUUCAGUCACUCAGUCAUGUCCGACUCUGUGACCCCAUGGACUGCAGCAUGCCAGGC